AGCGAACGUUUGCGGCGGGCCUAACACAUGCAAGUCGAACGCACUAGCAAUAGUGAGUGGCGCACGGGUGCGUAACACGUGGGUAAUCAACCCUUCAGCUUGGGAUAACGACUUGAAAGGGUCGCUAAUACCGGAUACGGCGCGGGAGGCUUCGGCUUCUCACGAGAAAGCCUCGCAAGGGGCACUGAAGGACGAGCCUGCGGCCCAUCAGCUAGUUGGUGAGGUAAGAGCUCACCAAGGCGAAGACGGGUAGCUGGUCUGAGAGGAUGAUCAGCCACACUGGAACUGAGACACGGUCCAGACUCCUACGGGAGGCAGCAGUGGGGAAUAUUGCGCAAUGGGCGAAAGCCUGACGCAGCCACGCCGCGUGAGCGAUGAAGGCCUUCGGGUCGUAAAGCUCUGUGGGGAGAGACGAAGAAAGCCCGUGAAGAGCGGGCCGUUGACGGGUAUCUCCUUAGCAAGCACCGGCUAACUCCGUGCCAGCAGCCGCGGUAA
rnacentral:rRNA from 1 species